rnacentral:rRNA from 1 species
CAGACUUGACAUCCUGUGAACCUCUUAGAAAUAAGAGAGUGCCUUCGGGAGCACAGAGACAGGUGCUGCAUGGCUGUCGUCAGCUCGUGUCGUGAGAUGUUCGGUUAAGUCCGGCAACGAGCGCAACCCUUGUCUUCAGUUGCCAGCACGUAAAGGUGGGAACUCUGAAGAGACUGCCCCGGUUAACGGGGAGGAAGGUGGGGAUGACGUCAAGUCCUCAUGGCCCUUAUGUCUGGGGCUACACACGUGCUACAAUGGUAUGUACAAAGGGCAGCAAGCAUGCGAGUGCAAGCUAAUCCCUUAAAGCAUAUCCCAGUCCGGAUUGGAGUCUGCAACUCGACUCCAUGAAGUUGGAAUCGCUAGUAAUCGUGGAUCAGCAUGCCACGGUGAAUACGUUCCCGGGCCU